CGGAGGGUGCAAGCGUUAUCCGGAUUCACUGGGUUUAAAGGGUGCGUAGGUGGGCAGGUAAGUCAGUGGUGAAAUCUCCGGGCUUAACCCGGAAACUGCCAUUGAUACUAUCUGUCUUGAAUACCCUGGAGGUGAGCGGAAUAUGUCAUGUAGCGGUGAAAUGCUUAGAUAUGACAUAGAACACCCAUUGCGAAGGCAGCUCACUACGGGAAUAUUGACACUGAGGCACGAAAGCGUGGGGAUCAAACAGGAUUAGAUACCCUGGUAGUCCACGCCCUAAACUAUGGAUACUCGACAUCAGCGAUAAACUGUUGGUGUCUGAGCGAAAGCAUUAAGUAUCCCACCUGGGAAGUACGAUCGCAAGAUUG
rnacentral:rRNA from 1 species